GACAUCCGACAGGCAGCUUCCCGGGAUGGGCUUGCGCUUGGACUUCCAACACGCGUUCUGCUUUUGCCACUGCAUGGACUUCUGGCCCUGAAUUGCGUGAAAGAACUCAUCUCAUCCAGAACUCACAAUUGAGGGUCGAAUAGCAGGGAUCUGGGUAGGUAGGCGAAUGAACAUGCCUGAGUUCACGGGACAUGCAACUCUGAACAAGUGAUCGGAGUUGCUUCUCCCUCGAGUCGAGAGCCUGGACGACGACUUGUGGUUGUGGGCUUGUACACCUGCCGCCAGUCGUCGAUCUUGGCUACCCCUCACUCAGGAAGAACUGUUUUUCUUUACCUGAAGAAACAAGACCACAGGCAGUGGCCCUCGCUCCGUGCUUGCUCAAAAGCCCAUAGCUCAUUUACAUUACUUUGACGCUUUUAUCUUGAAGUAACUAUACCCGCAUCACUUCUCUGCAAAAAAAAAAAAAAGAAAGAAAGAAAGAAAGAAAGAAAGAAAAAGAGAGAGAAAAUCUAGCCCCCAAAAGUAGGGCGACUUCAAGUCUUCAACAUUCUCCGACGGAUCCUAUAUGUAUAUACGCGCGCGUAUCGUCUCUACUACCAAAAGCGAGACAGCAAAGCUUCCAAGCAUUAUUCUGUCUACUCGUUCCCUUUCAGCCAGUAGCUACAUGUAUCUGUUCUGUAUUUAGGAUUAUUAAACAGGGGAUAUCUUAUAAUUCAGCUCAUGAGUUCCAUAAGAUUUAUCACACGGCUUAACUAUAACUUAUGCGAGACAAAUUCCAAAGAAAGUUAUAUAUAGUAGAUUUCCUUAAUUUAUUUAUCCUACAAAACACAUCUUUGUGUCUGGACAGUAACCAUAUUUGGGAGGAUAAAUAAAUUAAACAAACCAGCUACAUACCUUCUUUUAAAAUUUCUCUAGCCAAGUUGUAGUUGAAGCCUGUGAUGAAUCUUAAAAAACUUAUGAGUCGAAUUGUACAAGAAAUACACUGUUCAAUAAUUCCAAAUACAAUACUGUGCCUGAAUCCUGGCAGAGGAAGUAAUAGUGUAUUGCUCUGAAGUACCGUGCCUGUGGCUGCCUGCAAGCUGGUAACCUUAUUAUUUGCAGGGGUAUGGUGCUCGCCUGGAUCCGAGGCUGAAGAGAGAAGAACUAGAUAGAGGUGCUAAUAGUGCCAUAGAGGUGCAGGUGUGGGCUACUGGGCUUGACGGACGAAGGGCGUGCGCUAGCUACUACCUCUCCAAUGCGCCGAGCGAGGCGAG
rnacentral:lncRNA from 1 species